rnacentral:tRNA from 1 species
GAGGGUAUAGCUCAGUGGUAGAGCGUGUGCUUAGCAUGUGUGAGGUCCUGGGUUCAAUCCCCAGUCCCUCCA